ACUACGUUUUAUCAGUACAAAUAGCAUGAAGCAAAAAGUACACGUCUAUUUAAAUAAUAAGAAUAAUCUUAGAUGAGAGGAACCGGUUUCAGAAAUAGUAAUGUAAAUUGACAUUAAACCUACACAAGGUCACAUACAGAAAACAGACACCCCAGUAUAGAAUGUAGCUAAAAAGUUCCAUUAGCAAAGAGGAGGUACAUUUUGAAGCGAGCACUGAGGAAUAUCUUAUGGGAAGCUAACUAUCAUUGAGAUGCUCAAGAAUGUAGUACACGUCUGUUUAAAUAGAAACCAAUAAUAGUUUCUCAUUUGUUCCGCUUCACUUUUAAAAAUCAUAAAAUUGCAGUUAUAUCCAAAACCUGAGUGGCUAGCGGGCAGCUAAGUUCAUGCCCAGAGUUCCGUUUUACUAUCCACAAGUAGAAGAUGUAAGGAGUUUAACAAGAGCUUCUUGUGAAUCAAGAUUGGAUGACAGUGUGUAUGCAUGUAUUGGUUAAGAAGAUUGGCUAACAGUAUACUAGUCUUUAUGUUAUUGGCUGCAAGACUGCGACGACCUAGCAACAUGGAGAUUUAUUCUUUUAGCCACAAAUUCUCUGCCCCGACCAUAUGUUCUAUCAAUUUCAAGGGCUAUUUUGCUGAAAAUAGUAUAUCCAGCUUCCUCAGGACCAAAGUUAGUUCUUUCUGACCCACAGAAAUGUCGAACUUAAGUAUGCAUUUUGUCUGCCUUAUAGCAAAUAAAGCAUGAAAUUAUUUGCUGCAGUUCAAAUGCCAGUUAUCAGCCCACAUCUUAUAUCAAACCUGUCAACAACACCCUACUUCAACAGCAGCAGCAUUAGAACAAAAUUAACAAUGAGUAAAGGUCAGAUUGAAACCAGCAGGCCAUGAUCUUGAAGUAGUUUCUUAUAAUCACUUCCAUUUCUGACAGAACAGGUCUUAUCCCGUUAUUCUUCCAAUGGAACAAAUCACCAAAAUACUCCUUACAUAGACCAGAAAUUCUGUUUAAACCACUCAUGGCAUGCCAUUCCUCGAAGAACCGAAGAAUAGAAGAGGAUGUUUGAGAUUGUGAGCCAUGACAAGAAGGUACAUAUUUUUUUAUAAGGACAACAGAAAAGGUCAAAACUACCCCUAUCAUUUGGUAAAUGGUUUAAAAUUACCCUCCGUCCAACUUUUGGUCAAUAAACACACAAUGCUAUCUUUGGGCUUAAAUUUACCCCUCCUGUGAGGGCUCCAUUUUAAAACAUUGGCUGUGCUUUUGAUAUUGUGCCGUUAGCGGGAGGGGUAAAUUUAAGCCCGAAAAUAAUGUUCUGUGUGUUUAUGGACCAAAAGGUGGACGGAGGGUAAUUUUAAACCAUUUACAAAACGAUAGGGGUAGUUUUGACUAUUUUCCGUAAGGACAAUAAGGGUAUAUAUUUAGAGACGUCAUAUAUUGACUAGGCAGGUUUGUAAGGUUUGAAAGGCCUGCAAUUGGGUUCUUUAACUUAAAGAAGGUUGAUAUCAAUCUAUAUGGGUAUUAGGAUUACACACACAUUAUGGUCCGGAACAUAUAUACAUUUUCCUCAAGCUUCUUAAUUUCUUAAUGACCAAAACCAAAGAACAACUCGUAUAUCUGUUGCUACUUUUGUCAGAAAGAGAUGAAGAAUAAAUAUAGUUACCACACAUAGACUUCUUCACAAAGAUACUUCAGGUUUAUGAACCCUCUGAGAAAAUAGUGAAACACAGAGAAGCAAUUCUCGAAUGCUGGGUAUGAGCUAAUUGAAGGGAGAAAAAAUUCCAAGAAAAAGAAAAGAAAAAAAAUAAGAAAAAAAGGGAUCCCCCCCCAAACCCCUCAAAGAAAAUGAAAUUGAAAUACUCCAUUCCCUUCUAAUACAUAAAGCUUGUAUUCUUAACACUGAACCCUCUUUGUUUACCCAUACUGUAUAUGAUAUUAACGAUGCAGCUGUUCAAUUAAUAAGACAUGGAUUCAAUAAUAAGUUGUUUUAUCUAAGACGAGUAAUGCAAGGAGGCAAACCUUAGAGAUUGGUGUAUCAUCAACCUUUGGUUGCAUGCCAAUGGAGGUGGUAUUUGCAAGAAUCAUAUCAUUUUCUGGAUGGAAAUUGCUAAGCUCGUCAAGAGAUAAAGCCUGACCUCCAACUACAUCAGCAAGUUCUCUCGCUCGUUCUUCAAGUAAUCAGAUAGCACAUAAAUACAAAGUAACAUAGUCAACCUCCAAAUCAAUACCAGAGUAAAGGGACUGAGCAAUGAUAAUAAGAACUUCAGCAAUUGACAUUAGCUACACAGAAUUUCACUACCAUAGGUACGGUUAGCAAUCACCACCCGAGCCCCCUUUUCCUUUGCACCAUAAGCUAGUGCCUUGCCAGCGCCACCAGCACCAAUGACCACAAAUAAUUUACCAGCUAAGGGAGACCCAGACAUACUAGGCUGUGAGCCUGUACAAGGAAAUAACAAAGCUCAAACACUAAGAAGCUCUAACUUCGGAAAAGGAUGUUUGUUUGCAGCUGAUAAAAUGGUUCUGACCUUGCAAUGCUUCUUCAAUGGCGGAGAUUGCACCCACAUAGUCUGUAUUGCAACCAAACAACUUCCCAUCAGGUCGCCUUACGACACAAUUGACAGCCCCUAUUAACUGCAGAAUAAUUAAGAAGCCAAGUAAUUGCAUGUGAUAUAACAAAUCAUCAGAAUAUUUUGCAAUAUUGAUCCCUGUAAAAAUACAAAACUAACUGCAGAAUAAUUGAGAAACCAAGUAAUUGCAUGUGAUAUGACAAAUCAUCAGAAUAUUUUGUAAUAUUAAUCCCUGUAAAAAUACAAAACAAAUAAAAGAAACAACAGCUGAAAGGCAUUACAAAAUCAUGUUAUAACUAAUACCUUAGCGAUAGGAUCAACUUCAUCACAGCAGUCGACAAUGGCUUCCUUGUGAGGAAUUGUACAGCUGCACAACAUUAAGUUGCAUAACUACUUCUAAACAUGUAUAUGAAUUAUAUUUAUUAGGCACGGCCAACACACACACAAAUUUGGAAAAACAGAAGAAGGAUGACCUACAGAAAAAACAAAUAAACAGAAAGAAAAACAUAAAAGAAAAAUCCAGUACAUUCAACCCCAUGAGAUAUGGUAUAUACAUGUACAUGUGCAUGAUACUUUCUAAGCUGUGAGAAAGGGGUGAUUUGGCGUGACUACCCUGAUGAAAUUAAAAGACAUCUAUGUAAAAUACCAGUUUCUGUUUUGAGAGCAAACCUGAAGCCAGCAAAAUCUAAAGAUGAGUAAGUCCGAAAGAAAUUUGCAACAUCAUCAACCAGCAAAGGCAAAUAAACACCAUUAAACCCAACUGAUCUGAAAGCUUCAUUAUACAAUAAAGGUGAUUUGCUAUGGCUAACAGGCUUCCCGAUAAUGCCAAAUAUUCUGGUAUCUGGUCCCAACUGUCUGAAAUUGUAUAUAUUCAAAAGAUCUUUAAUUGUUGGUUGCCCAGGAGCCGAAACCUUUCCCACUUCAAGAGUACCAAAUGUGAGGUAUCCACCGAAUUUUGGACAAAGUAUUCGUGACAUCAAACCCCUUUCUCCCAUGACCAUGGCUAUUAUUGGUACCUAUUUGAACAAAGUGCAAAAAAUGCUUUAACGUUUAAUCAUGAGAAGCAUCUCAGAAUGCAAGCAAGCUCAUAGUCAAGCAGCAAACUCAAAAGAAAGCCAGAGGCUCAAGGAGAUGGAGGACAAAUAUAUUAUGCAUAACAAAACCUAAAUAACAAAAAAAUACAUUUCUGCACUUAUGCAUGUGAAUAAUAUUAUAGUGGGAGCAGGAAAAAAGACGAACUUCAACCAUGAAGAGGACCAGCUUAUGAUUGGAGAAACUAAUGUAUGCUAAUUUCAUUCUUACAUUCCAAAAUAUGGAAAAACAAAGGAGGUCCACCUUGUAUUUCAAAUCUAAGCUUUUCAAUGUUAUUUAGUUCUGAACUAGAUCCCACUUUAUCCAUUUCGGGGUAAAAGACGACUAGCUUGCCACCACAAUAUCAUUCAAAUGAAAAACAUACACUAUGAAUUGCUAAACCAAGCCUUGAAGCUGGACAGUGAUUGCACCCAUUCACGAUGAGUUACACAACUUUUUUACCUUUUCAAUAACGGUGGUGAUCGGGCCAACUUGUUCGGACCUCGACUAUUCCACCGGGUAUGUACUACCUCCCACUAGCACAAGUACCGAGUAACUUUGUCCACCUCCACCAAGGCUAAGACAAAUGGCUAGAAAUCUAGAAUUUUUGGUGACCGCUGGGGAUUUGAACCUUGGUCUCUAAGGUAUGUACACACUUCAUUGGCCACGAGGCCACACCUCUGGGUGCAUGAUGAUUUACACAAUGUGUAAUACUAACAAUCAUUUUUAACCUAUUUUCAUGUCCAUAUCUUUUAUAGAUCCAGGCUCAAAAUCCAGGAACUUUAAAAAAUGAUAUAAAGAUAUCUUUAUAUCUUUACGGGACGGUUAGCUUCCUGGAGUGUGCAUACAAUAUUUGAACCUAGGUUCAUGUAAUUUUCUGCACCAAAUUGGAGGGUGGACUACUGGUCCCUGCACUUUUUUCCUCGUGGCUUAUCUAAAGGAUAACUUCUUGUCCAAUCCAUAAGGAAAAACAACCCCUUGAACGUAGCCUCUUGACAAUGCAUAAAUCCUUUUACCCCUUUUGCUUUAUUGGCAUCCCAACUCUGCCCCUCCCAAAAAAAAAAAAAAAAAAANNNNNNNNNNNNNNNNNNNNNNNNNNNNNNNNNNNNNNNNNNNNNNNNNNNNNNNNNNNNNNNNNNCCCCCCCCAAAAAAAAAAAAAAAAAGCUCCAGACGAUGAAUAAAUGUUUCCUUUAACCCUUUCUCGUCUACCAAGCGCCUACCCUCUAGUGCCCCAUCCAGUAACCCCUUCCUCCAAGUCAAUUUUCCUUUAUGCCUGGCUAAUUUGCAAAAUGGACCAUCAUCCACAAUCAAUGGUCAUCCUCCCCUCUUAUACCCCACUUCCAACUUCCGUGGUCCAAAACAUAUUAAUGGAAUAUUUUGUAAAUUAAAUAGAAUUCUUUUCAAAUGAGGGGAUUAUGUUUAUAUUCAAUAGAACAUACAAGGUUGAGAGUCUCAGGCUCAAGAUAUUAAGUCCCUAGAGCGGUCCAUCCUAUUGGUCUCACCAAAUAAGAAUCCUUCAGCCUUCACUAGAAUCCAACGAUGUUAUAAUCUAUCAUCCACAAAUCACCUUAUUUCAGCCCAACAACAUAUAAACAACCUCAUCACUUGACAUACCGAAAGGCCCCUUAACUGACAAGUGAUAUCAGAUGUCAUUCACUUGAGAAAAUGUCUCAAAGGCAUAGAUACAUACAAUAAUAUUGAUUCCACUAUCUACCUUUGAGUUCUUCUUGCAAUGGAAAAAAUCAUCAGAUAACUAAGACAAUUCAUAAACCCCCACCUUUUUCAGGGAGAGAGAGGGAGAAGGAAAGAGACAGUUGAUUGUGGAAGCUAUUCUCAAUGUCUUUGUCCCUCUCAUUGCCCUUAACAUAUAUCUAGGUUAUUAAUGUAAACCCGGUCAGACGUUUAUCAAACUAUACCUAACUUAUUGGUGUGUAUGGCCUAAUACAAAUCUACAAGAGGCAACCAGCUUCUAGAUUCAAACUAGCACCAAAUCCAGCUCAGGAGAAACCAUGAUUUAUCACCAAACAAAUUUGAAAGCAAGUUAUGGCUUGAACAACUUGCUGUACUACUUACGCCGCUUACUUGAAAAUGUACAGUAAUUUGGAAUACACGUGCAACAUCGGUGAUAUCCAGUGCAGUUGUUGCAAACUUCACAAUGUCAGCUCCGGAUGCCUGUAUUCUUGCUACUAGAUCGCCAAGCACCUCAGAUGAUGGUGUAUUAUCAUAGUUGUGAGAAGAAACAAUAACUUUGCAUUUUGCUGAUUUAUUUCCAUGUAGAACAGUAUUGAACUCGUCAAUAGCCUAAAGAAGUGGGAGAAAAAGAAACAAAAAGCAUAAGGAAAGCAGCAAUUAUUAUUUAUUGAUCAAGUGUCCGUCAAAGCAAAAAGGAAGAAGCAAUGACGACUAAAAAUACAAAGAAUGUCGACUGAAAGCUAAGCAAAGGUUUAGAUAUAUUUAACAUUUAUAUGUAAUAACCAACAGGAAGUGAUCCUUAGUUUGCAAAAUUGAUCAAUGUUCCUUCAUGCAAGAUGCAUCACAGGCCAUACAUUUCAACAGUCACAUUCAAAGUCUCAAUACAAAGCUGUACACCUAUUAAGAUGCUUUAAAAUUUCUAGUAUUUAAGUCAAGUUUCUGGAGAUAUGAACCAAGGUAACCAGAUUGAUUGGCCUUACAUUCUCAUUCUUAUGCUUUAACUGAACUCACAUUUGUGGACAAUUAGCAGCAGCUACACAGGGAAAUGCCAUCAUUUUAUAUUUUAUUUUAUUUUCUGGGAUAAGGUGGGAAGGGCCAUUUUUGUUUUAGAAUCAAUACCUUUAGCUCAACAUCAAUGUAAUCAGCUCCCAACUCCAUUGCUAAUCGAAGUGCAUCCAGUCGACUCGCUUCAUCACCAGCAUACUGACCCCCUUCCCAAGUGGGCCUAGAAACGUGGGCAACAUAUUUAGAAUGCACUUUUCAAUGUCUAGAAGUAAUAGAAACAUUAUUUGAAAUGAAAUAAGAGGAGAACUUUAAAUCCGGAAGUAGAGCUAUAAUUAUAAACAUAAAUUGUCAUUAUAUGUCCCUUCUCCGGACCCAACAUAUAGCGAGAGCUUAGAGCGUCGGACUG
rnacentral:lncRNA from 1 species